ensembl:lncRNA novel transcript
GGUGCUCUUAGAAGAGGAAGACACCAGAGCUGUCCCUCUCUCGGCUUGCACUAAGGAGGAGGUCACGUGAGCACACAGUGAGAAGGCGGAGGACCAUCUGCAAGCAGGAAGAGAGCCCUCGCUAGAACCCCCCACGGUGGCAUCUGAUAGUGGACUUCUAGCUUCCAGAACUGAACUCAUAAAUGUCACAUCAGGCUGCCUCUUGGUGAAUUUUUAAUCAACGGGGAGAAUUUCAGCUACAAAUAGACCAAGAAUCAAGAGGCCCACUAUUGAUCGGUCAAAGUGGCACUUAUGAACCUGAGGUUGAAGCAGUUUGGAUAAAAGGAUUCUGGGCUUUCGAUGGCCCCAGAGACAUCUUUUUCCAUCAAGUCCAGGCUUGCUGAUCGGUACAGCUGAGAACAUGUUGAAUUUGAUGUGCCUGUGGAUAUUUGAGUCUGGAACAUUGAAGACAAGUUUGGUCUGGAGAUGUAGACUGGGGAUAUCUCAGCACACAGAUGAUAACUGAAAUGAUGGAGCGGAUGAUAUAAACUGGAGAGAGUCUGGUGUGGGAAGAGUCUUCCCUGAGGUGGCCGAAAGAUGUAAUUCUUACUCCAAAGACUGAAAUAGAGACAAGAGAAGCUGAAGUUACAGGGUUUUGUCAUUGGGAAGACAGUAGAGUGUGUCAUAUCCCAAGAGUGAAGCAAGGACAAACCAAAGAACAACUGGGAAGAUCUGGGAGAAAAAGGAGACAGGGUCUUACUUUGUUGCCAAGGCUGGCUUCAAACUCCUGACUUCAAGAGAUCCUCCCACCCCACCCACCCAAAGUGCUGGGAUUACAGGUGUGCGCCACUGUGCCUAGCGGGUCAUCAGUCUUUGAGAUGCUGUUGACAAAGCCAUUUGAUGAUAUCAAAGAAGGAAUGAAGCAUAAGGUUUUUUGGCCCCUCUGCUUGGGAUGCCACUUGCAGGCAGAACUCUCCACAGUUUUACCAUCCAGUGAAGAAUCACCUGUUUAUAGCCUGUGUAAAAUCAAUGAUGCUUCUUGGAAACAAGUCUAUUCUCAUAGACAGCUUGACGUUGCAUGGCUGAGUCAUUUGUCAGAGUGCUCUGGCUUUAAAUAUACCUCCAAGUCUUAAGACACAUGAACUUUUGAGGUGCAGGAAUCAGCAAUUCUAAAAGGCACAAGUCUUCCAUCCAAGGUCCUGGUUGCCUUCUAGAUCCUGUUCUAACAAACAUAUCUCCAAAUCUCAUUUGCUUAACCCCAUACAAGUUUAUUUGCCGAGAACAUCAAGGUGAAGGUAUGCUCCAUGAACUAGCAGCAUUGGCAUUACCUGGGAGCUUGUUAGAAUUCAGAAUCUCAGACCCACCUCAGACCUACUGAAUCAGAAUUUCAUUUUAACAAGAUCUCCAAGUGGUGUGUAAGCACAUUAAAAAUUUGGAAGUGCUGCCC